rnacentral:rRNA from 1 species
UGGGGAAUUUUGGACAAUGGGGGAAACCCUGAUCCAGCCAUCCCGCGUGUGCGAUGAAGGCCUUCGGGUUGUAAAGCACUUUUGGCAGGAAAGAAACGUCGCGGGUUAAUACCCCGCGGAACUGACGGUACCUGCAGAGUAAGCACCGGCUAACUACGUGCCAGCAGCCGCGGUAAUACGUAGGGUGCAAGCGUUAAUCGGAAUUACUGGGCGUAAAGCGUGCGCAGGCGGUUCGGAAAGAAAGAUGUGAAAUCCCAGAGCUUAACUUUGGAACUGCAUUUUUAACUACCGGGCUAGAGUGUGUCAGAGGGAGGUGGAAUUCCGCGUGUAGCAGUGAAAUGCGUAGAUAUGCGGAGGAACACCGAUGGCGAAGGCAGCCUCCUGGGAUAACACUGACGCUCAUGCACGAAAGCGUGGGGAGCAAACAGGAUUAGAUACCCUGGUAGUCCACGCCCUAAACGAUGUCAACUAGCUGUUGGGGUCUUCGGACCUUGGUAGCGCAGCUAACGCGUGAAGUUGACCGCCUGGGGAGUACGGUCGCAAGAUUAAAAGCUCAAAUGAAUUGACGGGGUCAUAGCUGUUUCC